UCUUUGUGGUUGAAAUUAUGUUGUAGUUUUCAUUAGAGGUUUUCUUCUUGAUAUUUUAGAGGUGUAAAUUUACAUAUUCCAAAAGCAGUCCUCCCUAGGCAUGGAGAGGAGGCUCUGAGAAGGGGAAGGAUGCAGUUUCACAAGUGAGUGGUAGAAAGUGUUUUGUUAAUCCUUAAUAGCAAAACAAUAGAGGAAAGAUUUGAGGAUACCCCAUAUAAUUAAUAGAGUAGAACUAAGCAUAGUACACAUGCUUCCAAGAAGAUCACAGAAUGCACCGUGGAAAUAAGCAAUACAGUGGUUAAUCGCUUCAGAGAAAUCAUGCAGAAAGUACUACACGUACCACAUCCAAGAGAAUGACCAAACCUCUUCAAAAUCAUCCCAUCUGGAGAAUGACACGCAUAACACACAUGUCAGACUGGCGGGGCAGAUGUAACAGAGUCCAGCAAGAAUAUUCUGAAAGGCCAACCGUCAACAUUCAAGUGUCUCCUCCACAUCCCGACCGCUCACCAGCAGAGCAUCUGAGAGCAUACUACUUACGGCCGUAGUUCUUCGAUUGCCUCAUCAGUGAAAGAGAUUCGACAGACCAAGAUGGCGGCAUGGUCUUCUUAGAUCUCGUCACCACUGAAAAUUAGAAGUUAAGUUUUUAGUAGUUGUUUCACUGUACUUAAAAUAAUCAAAUGGUGUAAUUUUUACAUCUCUAGGCAGGACACCUAAUAAAAUGAGGAAGUUUUGAAAAUCUG